UAAUACGAGGGGAGCUAGCGUUGUUCGGAAUUACUGGGCGUAAAGCGCGCGUAGGCGGCUUUUUAAGUCAGAGGUGAAAGCCCGGGGCUCAACCCCGGAAUAGCCUUUGAAACUGGAAAGCUAGAAUCUUGGAGAGGUCAGUGGAAUUCCGAGUGUAGAGGUGAAAUUCGUAGAUAUUCGGAAGAACACCAGUGGCGAAGGCGACUGACUGGACAAGUAUUGACGCUGAGGUGCGAAAGCGUGGGGAGCAAACAGG
rnacentral:rRNA from 1 species